AAUUCUUAAUAGUUUUUACUUUCUGCAAGAGACAUUAGUUGUAAUUAUUUCAUUUAGGCAUGUGAAGAAAAUAACUAAUUUUUUUUAUUAUGCUUUACAUGUUGAUAAGGAAAAGAAUGCCUAUGUAGGAUUAAUAUAGCUUAGUUACCACCACAUCUAGGAUUCUUCCUUUUUAGGCAUCACACCAAAGAACUUAUGUUUUUAUCAUAUAUUUGCAUUGAGUGACUAAAUUUGAUAUUUUGAAUAAUAUUUUUUACAAUGUUGGGUGCAGGCAAAUCAAUGCGUCUGUUGCUAGGAGGAACUUAGGGGUGCAUGUCUUAUUUGAAUAAUAUUUUCUUCUACUUCAAUUCUUACUGUUUUCUUUUUUAUUUAUUUAAUUGAUUCAUUUAUGUUGUUUUCUCUUCAGACACUGCAUUUUCAUGUUCAUAUAAUUGUUGUGAAUUAAAGCCUCUUCUCUUCCUCAACUCAAUGACAGUUCUUGAUUGCUUAAUUGAUCAAAGACUUGUAUAAAGUAUCCAGUCACUGAAUUGAAUCUGAAUCACUUGCUUUUAGACUUGUUCUGGUUUAUUGCAUUGUGUGCAUUACAUGUUCCAAAUCUGCAAUUGCUAUUUGGCAGUGUCCAUGAUCUUUAAAAAGAACUAACCCUGAGAAAUCUAUGGAAGAGUUCCGAGCAGCUAGUCAAAAACUUGGUGAUGGCGUGGGUGUAAAGUCUUUAAUGCAAAGCACGGGACUUGGAAUGAUUGCUGACCAGGUUAGUUUCUUUUUUUCUUUGAAAUUCUUAAUAGUUUUUACUUUCUGCAAGAGACAUUAGUUGUAAUUAUUUCAUUUAGGCAUGUGAAGAAAAUAACUAAUUUUUUUUAUUAUGCUUUACAUGUUGAUAAGGAAAAGAAUGCCUAUGUAGGAUUAAUAUAGCUUAGUUACCACCACAUCUAGGAUUCUUCCUUUUUAGGCAUCACACCAAAGAACUUAUGUUUUUAUCAUAUAUUUGCAUUGAGUGACUAAAUUUGAUAUUUUGAAUAAUAUUUUUUACAAUGUUGGGUGCAGGCAAAUCAAUGCGUCUGUUGCUAGGAGGAACUUAGGGGUGCAUGUCUUAUUUGAAUAAUAUUUUCUUCUACUUCAAUUCUUACUAUUUUUUAUUUAUUUAUUUAAUUGAUUCAUUUAUGUUGUUUUCUCUUCAGACACUGCAUUUUCAUGUUCAUAUAAUUGUUGUGAAUUGAAGCCUCUUCUCUUCCUCAACUCAAUGACAGUUCUUGAUUGCUUAAUUGAUCAAAGACUUGUAUAAAGUAUCCAGUCACUGAAUUGAAUCUGAAUCACUUGCUUUUAGACUUGUUCUGGUUUAUUGCAUUGUGUGCAUUACAUGUUCCA
rnacentral:lncRNA from 1 species